rnacentral:tRNA from 1 species
CGGGCUGUAGCGCAGCCUGGUAGCGCACCUGCUUCGGGAGCAGGGGUCGGAGGUUCGAAUCCUCUCAGCCCGACCA